rnacentral:rRNA from 1 species
UACAGAGGUCUCAAGCGUUGUUCGGAUUCAUUGGGCGUAAAGGGUGCGUAGGCGGCGCGGUAAGUCGGGUGUGAAAUCUCGGAGCUUAACUCCGAAACUGCAUUCGAUACUGCCGUGCUUGAGGACUGGAGAGGAGACUGGAAUUUACGGUGUAGCGGUGAAAUGCGUAGAUAUUGUAAGGAAGACCAGUGGCGAAGGCGGGUCUCUGGACAGUUCCUGACGCUGAGGCA